CGGGGGGAGCAAGCGUUGUUCGGAUUUACUGGGCGUAAAGGGCGCGUAGGCGGCCACCGCAAGUCGACUGUGAAAUCUCCGGGCUUAACCCGGAAAGGUCAGCCGAUACUGCGGGGCUAGAGUGCAGAAGGGGCAACUGGAAUUCUCGGUGUAGCGGUGAAAUGCGUAGAUAUCGAGAGGAACACCUGCGGCGAAGGCGGGUUGCUGGGCUGACACUGACGCUGAGGCGCGAAAGCUAGGGGAGCGAACGGGAUUAGAUACCCCGGUAGUCCUAGCCUUAAACGAUGAAUGCUUGGUGUCUGGGGUUUUAUAGUCCCCGGGUGCCGUCGCUAACGCUUUAAGCAUUCCGCCUGGGGAGUACGGUCGCAAGACCG
rnacentral:rRNA from 1 species